rnacentral:rRNA from 1 species
GAUGAACGCUGGCGGCGUGCCUAAUACAUGCAAGUCGAGCGAAUGGACUAAGAGCUUGCUCUUAUGAAGUUAGCGGCGGACGGGUGAGUAACACGUGGGUAACCUGCCCAUAAGACUGGGAUAACUCCGGGAAACCGGGGCUAAUACCGGAUAACAUUUUGAACCGCAUGGUUCGAAAUUGAAAGGCGGCUUCGGCUGUCACUUAUGGAUGGACCCGCGUCGCAUUAGCUAGUUGGUGAGGUAACGGCUCACCAAGGCAACGAUGCGUAGCCGACCUGAGAGGGUGAUCGGCCACACUGGGACUGAGACACGGCCCAGACUCCUACGGGAGGCAGCAGUAGGGAAUCUUCCGCAAUGGACGAAAGUCUGACGGAGCAACGCCGCGUGAGUGAUGAAGGCUUUCGGGUCGUAAAACUCUGUUGUUAGGGAAGAACAAGUGCUAGUUGAAUAAGCUGGCACCUUGACGGUACCUAACCAGAAAGCCACGGCUAACUAUGUGCCAGCAGCCGCGGUAA